GAUUAACGCUGGCGGCGUGCAUAACACAUGCAAGUCGAACGAUGAAACUCAUUAGAUUUCUUCGGAAUGAAAAUGAAUGGAUUAGUGGCGAACGGGUGAGUAACGCGUGAGUAACCUGCCUUGCACAAGGGGAUAGCCUCUGGAAACGGAGAAUAAUACCCUAUGAAACCAGACAAUCGCAUGAUAAUCUGGUCAAAAUGUUUAGUGGUGUAAGAUGGACUUGCGUCUGAUUAGCUAGUUGGUGAGAUAAAAGCUCACCAAGGCAACGAUCAGUAGCCGGCUUGAGAGAGUGUACGGCCACAUUGGGACUGAGACACGGCCCAGACUCCUACGGGAGGCAGCAGUGGGGAAUUUUGCACAAUGGGGGAAACCCUGAUGCAGCGAAGCCGCGUGAUUUAGAAGGCCUUCGGGUUGUAAAAAUCUUUUGUAUAGGAAGAAAAUGACAGUACUAUACGAAUAAGGUCCGGCUAAUUACGUG
rnacentral:rRNA from 1 species